GCGAGGCUGCAAGAAGUGAAUUCUUUCAUCUUCUCCCUCGUGUUCUCGAAUAAGAUAGUUGUUUUCAUCAAGUAUUCUACAAGAAAUUAAAUAAGAUUAAAGAAGAUCUAUAGAGGAACGUCGAGAUGUUGAUGCCAAAAAAGAAUCGUGUGGCCAUAUACGAAUACCUUUUUAAAGAAGGUGUAAUGGUAGCGAAAAAUGACCACCAUGCUUCAAAGCAUCAAGAGUUAGAAACAAUUCUAAAUUUAGAAGUUAUUAAAGCAAUGCAGAUAAUUAUAUCUUAAUAUUUAAUAUUAAAAUAAAUUAUCAUUGUGUGUGUUCUUUCAUU